AUUGAACGCUGGCGGCAUGCUUUACACAUGCAAGUCGAACGGUAACAGGCCGCAAGGUGCUGACGAGUGGCGAACGGGUGAGUAAUGCAUCGGAACGUGCCCAGUCGUGGGGGAUAACGCAGCGAAAGCUGUGCUAAUACCGCAUACGAUCUAUGGAUGAAAGCGGGGGACCGUAAGGCCUCGCGCGAUUGGAGCGGCCGAUGUCAGACUAGGUAGUUGGUGGGGUAAAGGCUCACCAAGCCAACGAUCUGUAGCUGGUCUGAGAAGACGACCAGCCACACUGGGACUGGGACUAGGCUCAGACUCCUACGGGAGGCAGCAGUGGGGAAUUUUGGACAAUGGGCGCAAGCCUGAUCCAGCAAUGCCGCGUGCAGGAAGAAGGCCUUCGGGUUGUAAACUGCUUUUGUACGGAACGAAAAGGUUUGGGUUAAUACCCUGGGCCGAUGACGGUACCGUAAGAAUAAGCACCGGCUAACUACGUGCCAGCCGCCGCCGUAA
rnacentral:rRNA from 1 species